CCCCCAGGGUCUCUCCAUCACGCCUUCACUGGUUUGCCAGCUCGGUUCUCUCUGCUCCCACGGAUGCAGCGCAUCCUUGAAGGCGGCAAGAUUUUGCUGCUCACCGGGGGCCAGGCUGAGGAGAGCCUGGAGCACAUCCCCCUUCGGCACCAAUGCUAGGUGCACCGCCAUCUCCUCCUUGAUCCAGCCAUUGUGCUAGGCAGCUAGAUGUACUUGGACCAGGUAAGUGUCCAGGGGCGUCUUCCCUCCAUAGUGCGGGAGCUUCACCGCAGACUUUGUCCCUCUCUCUCGUGCCAGUGUGCUUGCUUCUGCUCGCUCUGCCGGAAGGCGGAGUGGGCGGAGUGCGCUGGCACCAUCAGGUCUUCCCAGGAAGUUACGCUGCUUGGUGCCUGGGGUAUUCAUGUUCUCUUCAGGCGCUCCCCACGAUGGCCGCUGGAAUCCUUGCUCAAUGUAUUGGAGAUCGUCAUAUGACAAUUCCAAUCCCACUUCUGACACCAUUGUCAUCAGUCCAACAUGCAGCGCUGCCCGCAGGUAAAAUUAGUGUUGUGAUGGAGAACCUGAAGCUCCAGAACCUGCUUUGAAAACUACAAAGGAGUGUCGCCCAAAUCGUGAUUUGAUGCUUGUUUUGGGGGUGCUAAAGUCGUGAUCAAAUGACGUGUGUAAGUUCUUUUUGUACAGACGCUCAUGACUGUUAGUAAUAAUUCAGAAGCAGCUAAAACUGGUUCAAACUAGUAUGUGGCAUUCCCACACACAAGAUAUUGUAACUGAUAGUAAUGGAAUAAUCUAGGGAAAGGAUUUGUUCUUACAUUUGGGAACAUUUCGCUGUGCAAUCUCCAAAUAUGGUAUAUCAUAAAAAUAGCAUCAUAAUUCUAAAGUACUUAUUCCUCGCAAUAAUACAUGAAUAUUAUUUUGUCAUGUAAGGUCCAGUGCCUGAUUUUCUCUCAGCAAACAAUAACGCCUCAUCAAUGCAUAGACAUGAAAGAAAAAGCCCAGGUGGAAGGACAUAAGGCAUCAGCUGUAAGCCUGACAGCAGACAUGUGGACUUCAUUUCAUAUGGAUGCAUAUCUUGCAGUAACCUUACAUCACAGAGUGCCAUGAACUGGCUACAGUGCUGCAAGGCAUGAGAAAACUCCCAUAAGUUCACAAUUCUGCAGCACUACAAAUACCCAAGCAGCAGUGAAAAGGCUUACAGCAGAAUGUACAACAGUUAUAAGAUCAACGACAGCUGUAGAGCCUUCUACAAAGACAACUGAAGAACCUCCUGCAGAAGUUCAACCAGCUGCUUCAGCAACUCAAUGCGGUACACAACAUAGUGUACUAUAUAGAGACACUGACAGUUUGACAGCAAUAGUUAAUGUUUAUUGUAUUUUGCAGAGAAUCGGGGAAUGCUGGACAGACGUGGAGGAAACCAGGCAGGCUAAGAUGAGUAUCUGGCUGUCCUGGAGGAACAGAAUGAAGGGGGCAUGAUCGACGAAUCCUACCCUCAUGAUGAAGGGCUUGGUGGCAGCCCGCAUAAAAAUUGACCAUGCUUUUUUCGGGGUGACUCACAACCUUGUGACUUUUUCUGAGGUGUGGGGUUAUGGUGGGGUUCUAUGUCACUUGACCCAUGAUGGGGACUUAAUCUUGAAGUUUUAAUAUUGCCUUGAAGUUGUCGAUUAUUUCCUUGGCCCGCCGUAUGGUUUUUUUUGUUUGUUGCCCUGGUAAUUUUCUCUUGGUUUUUUUUUUGUGGUUGAUUGUUUACUUUGUUUUCCGUUUGUCUGAUUUUGUGAUAACGACCCAUCCUGCGAUUUGAAGUUGCAGUAGGGUUUUUUUCUGUUGUUGACUGACUUAAUAAAGGCUGGUGCAAAGUC